rfam:Gossypium hirsutum cultivar TM-1 chromosome 25, whole genome shotgun sequence
AAUCCAUGCAUCGGACAUUGUCGAAGUAAUUCUUUAAAUCGUUCCUAAGCUUCAUAUAAUGUUUCAUCCUAUGAUUGCCAAAAAGAUGUUAUGUCAUUUCUAAACUU